rnacentral:rRNA from 1 species
CCUACGGGGUGCAGCAGUGAGGAAUAUUGGUCAAUGGACGAGAGUCUGAACCAGCCAAGUAGCGUGAAGGAUGACUGCCCUAUGGGUUGUAAACUUCUUUUAUAUGGGAAUAAAAUGUUCCACGUGUGGGAUUUUGUAUGUCCCCUAUGAAUAAGGAUCGGCUAACUCCGUGCCAGCAGCCGCGGUAAUACGGAGGAUCCGAGCGUUAUCCGGAUUUAUUGGGUUUAAAGGGAGCGUAGGUGGAUUGUUAAGUCAGUUGUGAAAGUUUGCGGCUCAACCGUAAAAUUGCAGUUGAAACUGGCAGUCUUGAGUACAGUAGAGGUGGGCGGAAUUCGUGGUGUAGCGGUGAAAUGCUUAGAUAUCACGAAGAACUCCGAUUGCGAAGGCAGUUCACUGGACUGCAACUGACACUGAGGCUCGAAAGUGUGGGUAUCAAACAGGAUUAGAUACCCGGGUAGUC